UCCCGGCUAGCUCAGUCGGUAGAGCAUCAGACUCUUAUACGAGAGCCUCCAAGUUAGCUUGGUCACAUCUGAAUGUCGAGGGUUCGAGCCCCUCGUUGGGAG
rnacentral:tRNA from 1 species